AUUGAACGCUAGCGGGAUGCCUUACACAUGCAAGUCGAACGGAGUGGCGAACGGGUGAGUAAUGUAUCGGAACGUGCCCAGUAGCGGGGGAUAACUACGCGAAAGCGUAGCUAAUACCGCAUACUCUUGGAGCGGCCGAUAUCGGAUUAGCUAGUUGGUGGGUUAACGGCUCAUCAAGGCGACGAUCCGUAGCCGGUUUGAGAGGACGACCAGCCAAAUUGGGACUAGGACACGGCCCAUACUCCUCCGGGGUGCAGCAGUGGGGAAUUUUGGAUAAUGGGGGAAACCCGGAUCCAGACAUCCCGGGGGUGCGAUGAAGGCCUUCGGGUUGUAAAGCACUUUUGGCGGGAAAGCGGUACCUGCAGAAUAAGCACCGGCUAACUACGGGCCAGCAGCCGCGGUAAUAC
rnacentral:rRNA from 1 species